CAAGUACCGUGAGGGAAAGAUGAAAAGAACUUUGAAAAGAGAGUUAAACAGUAUGUGAAAUUGUUGAAAGGGAACCGUUUGGAGCCAGACUGGCUGCUCUAUAAUCAAUCUCUGCUUCGGUAGGGAUGCACUUGUAGGGCUUUGGCCUGCCAACAGCAAUUUUUUCUGAAGGAAAAAACUAGAAGGAAUGUGGCCCCUCGGGGUGUUAUAGCCUUUUAGAAAAUACUUUGGAAGGGAUUGAGGACUGCAGCAGAUGCUUUUGGCGAAAUAUAUAGGUGCUUGUAUUGAGGAAGUGUAGAAUUUCUGCUUCGGGUGGUGCUACGCUCUAAUGUGCAACUCGCUUAGACUAUUUUCUAUCUGCUUAGGUUGUUGGCUUAAUGACUCUAAAUGACCCGUCUUGAAACACGGACCAAGGAGUCCAUCAUAGGUGCAAGUCUUUGGGUUAAAAACUCAUAGGCGUAAGGAAACUGAUGGAUACGAAGGCUCACGCUGGCAGUAUCGUCCGGCAAUGACGUUUUAACAGACUUUGACCGAGAUAAAGCACUUAUGCUGGGACCCGAAAGAUGGUGAACUAUGCCUGAAUAGGGUGAAGCCAGAGGAAACUCUGGUGGAGGCUCGUAGCGAUUCUGUACGUGCAAUUCGAUACGUC
rnacentral:rRNA from 1 species